CAUCAAUCUUUCCAAAGUUUACUUGGUAUAGUUUUAUAAUAUUCAAAGAGAUUAGAAAAUUUGAAAGCUUUGGUGUUGGAAUUAAUUUGAAACACUUGGACUUCUACUUGCGUAAGCUUCAAGUCUACGUGACGUAAACGUAUGUGACUACGCACACGUAAACACACGUAUAUAAAUAUUUUUGCGAGAUUAUUAGUUUUUGAUUUCUAUUUCAGGAAAAAAUUGUUUAAGAGUUUAGAACAGAAAACCAUUUUUUAUUUAGAAAACCAUUUUUUAUUUUAAUUUUAUUAUAUUAAUUAUAUUUUAGUUAUAUUAAUUGUUUAUAUUUUGUAAAAUAAAUAUUUUAUUUUACAAAAAUUGUAAGAAAUUUAAGGAGAAAUAUGAUAAAAUGGUUGAAUAUGAUAAA
rnacentral:misc_RNA from 1 species